CUCAACAGGUAAAGGAAAAUACUUUUCUGUGAGCUUGGGCAGCUGUGAAGAUCACUUAUCACACUGAAGAGCUGCUUUUGCAGAUGAAGAGAGCUGUGUUCUGUAACCACUGUCCCUGGGGAGCCUGUGCCAGGUCUCAGUAUGCUCUGUACAGCUCCUAGUACUCUCCAGGGCCCAUGUGUUUCAGCAGGAAGCCUUGAUAGCGUGCAGGGAGUCUGGGUGCAGAAAGGAUGGGCACAGUGAGCCCAGCUGUAGUCAGCUAUCCACUGGGGCCAGGCUUGGACAGAGAGAACCUGAGUCAGCACUUUGAUCAUUUCACAUGCAAAGGAUAAUUAUUUCUCUGGUUGAAACAAGGGAUGGAUUGCAGAACGAUGGAGUCUACAGGGUCUUCUUGCGUGUGAUCCCUGCUGCAUCCAGUUGAGCAAGCAGUGUCCGUGCUGUUGGAGAAGGACCUUGAAAAAUCGUCCUUGGGUUGGAUUUCUGAUCCCCGGGUUCCUGCAAUCAGCAAUGAGCAGGUAUGCAGCACACCUGCAGAGGUGAUGUCAGUGUCUGACACUACGGAGUGUAAUUAUGUUGCCCAGAGUAGCUGUGGAUUCCCCAUUCCUGGCAGUGUCCCAGGCCAGGCUGGACGGGGCUUGGAGCGACCUGGUCUAGUGGAAGGUGUCCCUGCCCGUGGCAGGGAGUGGAAUGAGAUGAUCUUUAAGGUCCCUCCCAACCCAAACCAUUUUGUGAUGAUUCUGUGAUAUCUUUAUGGAGGGGGUUGUGUUUGCACCCCUAUGUCCUGCCUCAGCUGGGCCCCAGCAGGGUGCUGCAUGGAGCAGGUUUCCUGCAGGUUCGUGGCACUGCUGGUUGAUUCACUGCCCCUGCUCUCACUUUCUGGACGGUUCCUCACGUUUUCAAGGUGACUGGAGAAAUUUUCCUGGGCAGCAGCUCACACUGGUAGAGAAGACUAGGGCAUUACAGGGGCUCCUGGAGGGCUGUGCAGUGUGUGGUGGGUGAGUCUGCCAGAGCACACGAGCCCAGAACCAAGGGCCAGCCGUGGCCCAGCCCCCCAGAGACAGCCAGUAGCCAACCUGCCACUGUGCUGGGAUGGCUGGUGUGUGUGAGGGGUGGCACAGGCUCACAGUGGUGAACAAUAAAGUGGUGUUUCUGGGAGCAGUGUCUGGCAUAGGCUGCUUGGGCAUGUUGCUGUGGUGCUUUCUGAGGACUUUUAACAAAUUGUUUCUAAUUACAUUGGAGGCCUACGUGGGAAUUGUAUUUCUGCUGUUAGAUAGCAGAGCACCUUGCCUAGAAAGAGGCCCAGAUACUUCAGUCAGUACACUUGGACCAAAUGCCUUUGGUCGCAUCAUGAGCCCUUCUAGAAGGAAUAAGGGGAAGAAAAUGGAUGGAAGCAAUUUGCUGUAAGUUUUCUCAUGCAGGUUUUGAAAGAACAGAAACAUUUGACCUCUAUGAGGAGAAGCUGCUAUCUGUGUCCUCUCAGGGCUUUCCAUGCACGUGACCCUAAUGGGCCCCCGAACUGGCUGGUGAGUAAUUCAUUCCUCCCUGGAACAGCCUGGAUUGAUCAUGCAAUGCCCAGGUGACCCUACAACCUAUCGGGAAUAAGGUACUGGAAGAACUUGAAUUACAGGUUGGUCAUUUUCCCAUCUAAUAUAUCACAGACUGAAAGCUUUAUGACUUCAGAGCUUACUGUAUUAAUUUUAUGCAUGAGUGCUUUAUUUUUGCCAUAUGAGAUAUAUCACUGGCUUACUGGAGCAAAAUAUCAUUAGACCUGGAAAGGGAUUUGGUCACUUACACUUUGUCACCAAGGAUCAUUGCACAUAGAUUAUGUAGGGCUGUACUGUGCCAUUUCUCAUGUGUUUAUUAAGUGAUUAUAAAUAUCGAGCAGCGCGCCUUCAGGGGACACUUGAGAUCUGUUAUUGUAGUAACAUUUCAUUGAGAAAGAUGACACACACAGAGUGAUUUGUGCCUUAGGAGGGUCCAUCAAAGGGUUUGGCUGAGGAGAAGGCAGAGAGAGGUCUGUUCUACCUUGAAGGAGCCCUCCUUCACUGGUUUUAGUCUUAGCUGUCCCCAUCCCUGGAGGUGUUUAAGGAAAGACUGGAUGUGGCACUCAGUGCUCUGGUCUAGUUGAAAUUAUGGUGAUGGGUCACAGGUUGGACUCGAUGAUCUCAGAGGUCUUUUCCAACCUGAAUAAUCCUGUGAUUCUGUUACUAUUUUGCAUCUUCUCUCAUCCUGGUGGCUGCCAUCGAGGGCUGGAUCCUGACUCACACAGGCUCCAACCUCUGCUUGUGCCAGAAACUUGGAGUUAAUCAGAUCAAAGUACUUUGGGUACUUUGGUUUCCCCCAUCUCAGUUCAGGAUGUCAGUCUUGAAAACCCCACAAACUUGGCUUUUCAGAAGUGCUGAGCCCACAGUGUUUAUUGUUUCAAUGAUAAUGAAUGGAAAUUUUAUAUGAACCCAUAAAAUCCAUCUGUUCACCGUGAACAUUCAAGGUACUUCUGCACAAGCCAUUUAGUGGCAUGAGGUGAUAGGACAAGGGUGAUGGCUUCAAACUACAGAGGGCAGGUUUCAAUUAGAUGUUAGAAAGAAGUUCUGCCCUGGUGAGGCACAGGUUGCCCUGAGAAGCUGUGGCUGCCCCAUCCCUGGAAGUGUUCAAGGCCAGGUUGAACAGGGCUUGGACCAACCUGGUCUAGUGGAAGGUGUCCCUGCCCAUGGCAGGGGGUGCAACAAAAUGGGUUUUGAGGUCCCUUCCAAUCCAAACCACUCUAUGAUUUCCCACAGCCCAAAACUGUGCAAGAGUCCACCUGAGAGCUCUUCACUCCUCAAUCACCAAGGCCAAAGAUCAGCCCCUGACUCCAGACUUCCCUUUCCAUUUUCUGCCAAGACCAACAAUGACCCGAUGCCAAGUUUUCCCAGGAAUUCUGUUCCUUUUUCAUCACUGCAGUGGGUUUUAUUUUUCCACAGAAAAUUAACUUGUAAAGCAGGAGAGUUGGCAAAGGCUGGGCUUCUUCUAGAAACUGAUGCUUCUUUAGAUCCCUUCUUUUCCUUUAAAAUCUUAUAUUAAAAUGUUUCCUGCUGGGUAUGUAAAGCACAACCUGAAAAUGUGGCUGUUCUCCAUUUCUAGAUUUCCACUUAUAACUGAACAGCUCAGGCCCACCUUUGAUUAAGUGAUCCACAGAAGAAAAAACAAACCUGCUAUCUGCCUCUUAAAAGUUAAUUAAUGCUUCCGUAAUUCACUAAUCAAAAAGACCGAGAUGAGAAGUAGGUGAGCAGUUAAAGAGCUGCAUAAAUCCACCAACAAGACUGAUAGAAGCCUGCAAUUGUGUUCUGAGCCUGAGAACAAGAGCAAAUGGGGUUAAAAUGAUUUGUGACCAGGAGAAGGAAGAAUUUCCUUCUGUUACAUGACUGCAUGUAACUUUUAUUAGUUUGAUGAUGUACAGUGGGACUAUUUCUCUUGGAAAUGGCUUUUUGGUUAACUUUUCAUUUUCCUUCCCAAAGUUAACUCUCCCUCACAGUGGUGUGAAGCACAGCUCCCUGAGGUUUGCUGGCCCCCAACUGUAUUAGUACCACUUGUAGUCGUUGUAAAUGACCUAUUUCAGAGCAGGCACUAAAGCCCUUGUUUUGCAGGUAGGUGAGCCCUCACCCUUUACUGUGCAGCAUUUCCACAGCAGGGCAGGGAUGAAACAUUUGUUGGUAAAAAAUAGUAAGAACAAAACUCACGAGGUGUCGCAUCGACAGUUACAUCACUUUUACAGCAGCUCCUCUUCAGGAAUUAGAGGCUCUGCGCUAAUUUAAUAUCACUAAACUGGUCCUGGUUUGGGUGUGAUCUGUCCUCCUGGUAUUGCAUUUCUAGCCACUGGCACUGCAGUAUUAUCUGGUGCAUCCAAAUAAUAUCUGGAAAAGUACCAAGUUCACUUUUACCUGUGAAAAGCACAAGUUCCCAGGGUCAGAGAGGUGGUGCAGAUUAACAUACAUUUAUCACCAAAUAGAUAUGAGAAAAACAGGUGGAGGGGCCUCUUGCUCAUACCUAUGGGAAUAAUUUCCUGUGGGGAAUGGAGCAUUUAAGAUCCACUGGGAGUGGGGAGAGACUCCUGGUGUUGCUGGUGCUGGAUGCAGCAUCCUCUCAUGAGGCCAAGUUUUACCCCUGCAUCUUCUCUGGUCCAAAUUUCUGUUUGUUUGAAGGGAAUGUGGCUCAACUGUUUUCACGUUUCCUUCUUUUCAUGUUUUCUAAUCUGCUCGGUCCCUCUUUUCUCUUCAAAGGUAAGGGAAAGGCUGGGACACCUCAAGGCUUCCCUUGGACAAGGCUCCAGCACCGUUGCCCACUGCUGGCUCCUGCACAUGGAGGCAGCAAAAUCUUUGCUAUGAUGUGUUAUGUUCCUACAGGUGUUUUUAUUACCCAAACAGUGUCUUCAGUCUCAAAAAUUAAGGCCAAAUGCCCCUGGCUGGGUAAUGCUGGUUGAAGAGUGUAUCUGACAAAAUGACAGAACAAGUCUGUGGGUUUCUCAAAACCUCUCCACCCUGCUGAGGGUUAGAGGUGCAACAGGCCCAGCCUGGCCAGUGACAGUCCCCUUGCUGUGGUAACUCCUUCUAAGGGUGUGUGUGUGCUUCCCUGGUCAGGAAUUCAGGCAUGCAUCCACAUAAAUUUCUAUUUCUACACUGACCCUCGAGAUCUUGUUUCCCAUUCAUCAACUUCUUAUUUCUGCUCUUGACAUGGUUUCACAGAAGAAAUUUCCUGUAUUUCUGCUACAAGGCAUCACAGCCACUGGUAGCACACAAACAUUGGGGGAUUUUGGCCUAGGAAAUGAUGGCUUUGGUUUGCCAUCCACUUUCUCAAAUCCAGGAGGGAGGAGCCCAGGUUGCCACUGUUUUGGUGAGAAGUGGGACUGCAAAUGAUGCAUCAGUCCCCAGGCUCCAGCUGGAGACCAGCCUUGGAUUUUCUGAGAAGCUCCAAGAGGAGCAGGCAGGGAAACCCCAUCGUCUCAUGGCACCUGUGGUAUCUCCACCUCACAAGUCUUAUGGUAUCUCCACUUUUCUCACGCUGUCCCCUCCCACAGGGAGACUCUUUCACCAUCAUGGAAAUUUUAAGGGUUGUCUUUCCCUACGUCUCCCUGUUCCCUUGCCCAAGGCUCCUGUGCCUCCUCCCAUUUCUUGUUUUCCACUCUGCUGACAAAAGCAGUGGGAUUUAGGAUGUUUAAAGUAAAACCACGAGGGCUAAAACAUCCCAUGGAGCUUCACAGCAUGAUAACAAACAGGCUCUAUUACCCAGGCACGUCUCCCUUUGCUUUCCCUUCCCGCUGGCGGGGCGAGGAGGGGCACUGCCACCGCUUGUUUGGGAAUGCAAUUAGCCCAAGUGCGCAGGCCUGCGGCAAGCCAGGAGGAUAACCUUGAAUCCAGGGAAAGUUAGGGGGAAUUUAAAGCCAUCUGCAGCUCCAAUGGGUCCCCACGCACCCCUUUCACUCGCAGUUUCUAUUCAUGCCAGUAAAGUGCCAGAGGAUCCGCAAUACAAUGGGAAAUUGCUUCUUUGGGUAUCAUUGCAUCUUGACUUAGAAGUGCUUUAACCUUGGCCUCAUGCUUCCUGCGGGGCCUGUUGUCUUUGCUGCAGAAGUGCCGACACCAGCCAGGAACGUGGAGGAUUUUCCAUCUGAGUAAAAUUAAAGCCCGAAACCUUUACCAUCCUCUCGAUGCCAGACAUGCUCUACCUGCAUUAACUUGAGCUUAAUGGACUGCAAAACGAGCCUUUCAGCGUGUAUGGGAGUGGAUUAUUUGCAGCAGAGCAAGUUCCUCACAUUUUUAUCUCUUCCCUUUCUCAAAGCUUUUGUCCUUUGAAAAAAAAGAGAAAUGGAGCGACAGCCAAAUUAAUGGAACAGAGCAGGGCCUAGGAAGUCCAGAAACCUGUUUGAGCAAGGCAGA